AGUGAACGCUGGCGGUAGGCCUAACACAUGCAAGUCGAACGGCAGCACAGUAAGAGCUUGCUCUUACGGGUGGCGAGUGGCGGACGGGUGAGGAAUACAUCGGAAUCUACUUUUUCGUGGGGGAUAACGUAGGGAAACUUACGCUAAUACCGCAUACGACCUACGGGUGAAAGCAGGGGAUCUUCGGGCCUUGCGCGAUUGAAUGAGCCGAUGUCGGAUUAGCUAGUUGGCGGGGUAAAGGCCCACUAAGGCGACGAUCCGUAGCUGGUCUGAGAGGAUGAUCAGCCACACUGGAACUGAGACACGGUCCAGACUCCUACGGGAGGCAGCAGUGGGGAAUAUUGGACAAUGGGCGCAAGCCUGAUCCAGCCAUACCGCGUGGGUGAAGAAGGCCUUCGGGUUGUAAAGCCCUUUUGUUGGGAAAGAAAAGCAGCAGGUUAAUACCCCGCUGUUCUGACGGUACCCAAAGAAUAAGCACCGGCUAACUUCGUG
rnacentral:rRNA from 1 species